CAGCAGCCGCGGGAAUACAGAGGGUGCAAGCGUUAAUCGGAAUUACUGGGCGUAAAGCGCGCGUAGGUGGUUUGUUAAGUUGGAUGUGAAAGCCCCGGGCUCAACCUGGGAACUGCAUCCAAAACUGGCAAGCUAGAGUACGGUAGAGGGUGGUGGAAUUUCAUGUGUAGCGGUGAAAUGCGUAGAUAUAGGAAGGAACACCAGUGGCGAAGGCGACCACCUGGACUGAUACUGACACUGAGGUGCGAAAGCGUGGGGAGCAAACAGGAUUAGAUACCCGUGUAGUCCCUGUCUCUUAUAU
rnacentral:rRNA from 1 species